UUUAGCAUUGUGUUAGUAUACAUUGAAUAUAUCAUAGUUCAUUUGUAAAAUUAAAAGAUAAAAAAAGAUGACUAAAAUUCUCAAAUUUAUUUAUGCUAUAAUUUUGUUUUUGUCCAUAUUCAUUCUCUCAGCGAAAGCUAUCGUUCCAUGUCAAACUGUUGGAGAUUGUUUAAUGGUGUAUACUAAAGGGAAUAAGUUUAACGGGGAUAUGUUUGAUAGCCUUCUCGUGUGUCAAAAUAAAGUAUGUUUUUUUGCUUGUGUUGUUAAAAGAAACAAAUAUAAAAAUAAACUAUGAAUAAUAUAUUUAUAUAUGAAUAAUUUUUAUGGAAAAUAAGUUAUGAGCUAAUCCUUCUACAAGAAGUACAUUAGAUAUAGAAGGAGAGUUACCAGUACUUAUGGUUCCAGGGCCAAUUAUCUUGCCCUUCUGAUCUCCUCCAAACUUGACUUCUCCAGCGGACUUAAGCACCAGGUCUUGGAACAUAGACCUUUUUCCCGUUAUGUGCCGCGAGCACCCAGAGUCCAGGUAUCAUGACAUGUUGUGCUUUGCCUUCUUUGCAUCCAAGGAUAUCUGCAACAGAAAUUAUCUUGUCUUUAGGUACCCACAAUUUCUUGGGUCCUUUCUUGUUAGAUUUCCUCAAGUUCUGAUUGAACUUGGGUUUAGCAUGAUAAAUAACAGGAGGAACAACAUGAUAAUUAUUAGGUUGAUCUGCAUGAUAUUUUCUAGGUUGUGUCACAUGCUUCUUAGUGUGUGCUAUGUGAAAGCUUUUGGCAAGUGAUGUGAGCCUAAUAUCAUGAGAGUGGCCAUACUUGAACUGAUCAUACAAUGGCUUGUAUGUGAUUUUCAUAUCAUCAACAGGUUCAAGCUUGUAUGAGGUUUAACCCUCAUAGCCAAUGCCAACUCUUUUGUUUCCAGAAACAACGUAUAUCAUAGAAGCAAGAUGACUUCUACCUAUACUUCUAGAUAAGAAUUUCCUGAAACUCUAGUCAUAUUCUUUAAGAAUAUUGUUCAGGCUUGGAAUAAAACUUUCUGAACCAGAAGAUGACUCAGCAUCUUUGGAUAGUUUUGAAACUUUUUCUCUCAGUUCAGAAUUUUCUAACUCAAGCUUCUUAGUUUCAGAUUCAAAGAGCUUUCUCAGCUUCUUGUACUUGAUACUAAGUUUAGCCUUGAUUUCAAGAAUUUCUACUAGACUGGAAGCUAGCUCAUCUCUAGAGAGUUCAGAAAAUACCUCUUCAGAAUCUGAUUCUGAUUCUGAUGUAGAUUCUGACCCAUCAUCAAUUGUGGCCAUCAGCGCAAUGUUUGCCUGCUCGCCUUCAGAGUUUGAUUCUGAUUCUGAUGAAUCUGAGUCAUCCCAAGUUGCCAUAAGCCCAUUCUUCUUAUGAAACUUUUUCUUGGGCUUCUCCUUCUGAAGCUUUGGACACUCACUCUUGAAGUGACCUGGCUCAUUGCACUUGAAGCAAGUGAUCUUCUUCUUGUAAGAUCUUCUGCUUCCAGAGGAUUCUCCUCUUUCAGGCUUCUUUGAACUUCCUUUGUUUGCUCUUCCAGAGUUGGUUUACCCUUCUGGAGAUCAUGGACAGUUCAUCUUCCUCUUCUUCUGAUUCUGAUUCUUCAGAAUCUUCUUGUUCAGCCUGAAAUGCGUUAGUACAUUUUUUAUAAUUUGAUUUUAACGCAAUAGACUUACCUUUCUUUUGAGGUUCAUUAGCAUCUAGCUCAAUUUCAUGAAUCCUCAGGGCACUGAUCAGUUCUUCAAGAGAGACUUCAUUCAGAUUCUUGGAAAUUUUGAAAGCAGUCACCAUAGGACCCCAUCUUCUUGGCAAGCUUUUGAUAAUCUUCUUGACAUGACCAGCCUUGGUGUAUCCCCUGUCAAGAACUCUUAAUCCAGCAGUCAGAGUUUGAAAUCUUGAAAACAUUGUUUCAAUGUUUUCAUCAUCCUUUAUCUUGAAGGCUUCAUAUUUCUGGAUCAAGGCAAGAACUUUGGUCUCCUUGACUUGGGUGUUUACUUCAUGAGUCAUUUUCAAUGAUUCAUAUAUACCAUAGCAGUUUCCCUGUUAGAUAUCUUCUCAUAUUCAUAGUGAGAGAUAGCAUUCAGCAAAACAGUCCUAGACUUUUGAUGAUUUCUGAAUUGCUUCAUUUGAUCAUCACUCAUUUCUUGUCUUGUGAGCUUUACACCACUAGCUUUCACUGGAUGUUUGUAACCAUCCACCAGAAGAUCCCAUAAGUCACCAUCUAAUCCAAGAAAGUAACUUUCGAGUCUAUCUUUGCAAUAUUCAAAGUUUUCACCAUCAAAUACUGGUGGUCUAGUGUAGCCAUUAUUUCCAUUUCCAUUAUACUGCUCAGAAGAGCCAGAUGUAGAUGUAGGUGUAGGAGUAGCAUCAGCCAUCUUAGCUUUUUUCUCUUCCUGAAUCUUUUCUAAACACGGUUAAGUGCUUGCACCUUAGAACCGGCGCUCUGAUGCCAAUUGAAGGAUAGAAAAACACUUAGAAAGGGGAGUUGAAUAAGUGUACUUUAAAAACUCUUAAGAUAAAAACAAUUUGCACAAAGAUUUUUAUCCUGGUUCGUUGUUAACGAAACUAAUCUAGUCCACCCCCUUAGAGUUAUUUACCUUACCUGAGGAUUUAAUCCACUAAUCAACCUUGAUUACAAUGGUUUUCCACUUAGAUACCUUCUAAGUCUUCUAGAGUAUUCUGAUUACAACUUGAUCACUCUAGGAACACAAUGCUUAGAGACCUUCUAAGACUUCUAGAGAAUCCGAUCACAACUUGAUCUUCUCUAGUUCCUUUAAAAAUUAAUGUAAACAAAUUAUUACAAGAGUAUUACAAUGCUUAUUAAUAAGCUUUAAUCACAACUGUGAUAUUUCUCUUAAAGUUCUAGCUUAAACUCACUAAGAUAUUACAAAAGUAAUGUGAGGUUGAAGAUGAAGUUUGAUAGCUUUUGAAUUCAGCAGAGUUUCUGUAUUUUUCGCGAAUGUGUUAUUUUUAGCUUCUCAUCAGAACUUCUAUUUAUAGGCGUUAUGAGAAGAUAACCUUUGGGAGCAUUUAAUGCGUUGCUGAUCCGUACAACAUUGCAUUUAAUGUUUCACUCUUUUGUCAACUACCUCGAGCCUUGCUUUUCAUGCUUUUACUGACUUUUCCUUUAAAAGCUUAUAACGUUCCUUUUAGCAGUCAGCAUAGCCUGCCAUCUUGUACUUGCUUCUUAUCUGAUCUUUGUAGAUACAACGUUUGAAUAUCAGAGUCAUUCAGCUUGGUGCAGAGCAUCUUCUUGUCUUCUGACCUUGAAGUGCUUCUUAGCGUGAUACCAUAAGAACUUCAGUGCUUUUGCUUCUGAUCUCAAGUUCUUCUGAUGCUUCAUAUAUCAUGUUCUGAUUCUGCUUAACCAUCUUCUGAUGUCUUGCGAGACCAUGUUCUGAUGUUGCAUACUUGAACCUUCUAAAUCAGUGAUUCUUGCGCUGAUUUGUGCACACUCUAUAUAUAUUUCCUGAAAUGGAAAAUGCAUAGGAUUAGAGUACCACAUUGUCUUAUACAAAAUUCAUAUAUAAUGUUAUCAUCAAAACUAAGAAUAUUGAUCAGAACAAUUCUUGUUCUAACAGGUGAAAGGGCCGAACUCUUUGUUUAUCGUGCUAGUACCAAAGAAGAAGAAUCCAACAAAACUGGAAGAUUUUAGACCAAUUUAUUUGAUUGGAUGCAUAUAUAAGGUAAUUGUUAAGAUACUUGCAACACAGGCUUAGAAAGGUGAUGGGCUCAAUUAUUUAAGACACAUAAACAUCAUUCAUUUCGAGGAGACAAAUUACGGGUGGAAUUUUAAUCGCAAAUGAGAUAGUGGAUGAGGCAAAGCGAAAGAAAAAAGAAGUGGUGUUGUUUAAGGUGGAUUUUGAAAGGGCAUGCAAUAUAGUGGAAUGGAAAUUUCUAGAUGAAGUGAUGACUAUGGGAUUCCAUGAGAAAUGGCGGAGAUGGAUUUCAGAAUGUUUACAAACAGCUUCGGUUUCAGUCUUAGUGAACGGCAGUCCCACCAACGAAUUCAAGGUAGGUAGAGGAUUAAGGCAAGGGGAUCCACUGUCCCCUUUCUUAUUCUUACUAGUGGCAGAAGGUUUUAACAGUCUCAUGAAAAGGGCAGUUGAACUGGAAAACUUUUCUGGAUAUAAAUUUGAAAAUGGAAAGGAGAGCUUCUCUCAUCUCCAAUACGCAGAUGACACAUCAACUUUUGGUGAAAAUAAAUGGGGAAACAUAAGGAGCAUAAAGGAAAAUCUCAUGUUAUUUGAAAUGAUAUUAGGCCUGAAAGUCAAUUUCAAGAAAAGUUGUCUUAUCGGAGUUAAUAUUUGCCGGUGUUGGCUUCUAGAUGCAGCUAGAAAACAGAAUUGUAAGGUUAGCUCUAUUCCAUUCAAAUACCUUGGGAUUCCUAUAGGUGCCAACCCAAGAUCAUUGAAGACUUGGCAGCCAGUAAUGGAUGUUGUAAGAUCUAGAUUGUCAAUGUGGAAACACAAACAAUUGUCUUUUGGAGGUAGAGUGGUUUUGUUGAAAUUUUUCUUGUCCGCAAUACCCGUCUACUUCUUAUCUGUUUUCAAAGCUCCUUCAAGUAUCAUUUCCAAACUUGAAUCAUUCUUUAAAAAAAAUUGUGGGGGGGAUGUGAGGAUGAGAGGAAAAUUAACUGGAUCAAAUGAGAUAAAAAUUUUAGACCUAUAAAAGAGGGUGGGGUGGGAAUAAAGAACCUAAGAGAUUUUAACUCUUCAUUACUAGGAAAAUGAAUAUGGAAAAUUAGAAAGUAAAGAUAUGGUAUUUGGAUUAAAGCACUAAAAGAUCGUUAUGGUGGUUUCGGGGGUAUAGUUAGAUCGAGUGACAAAAAUAGUUCAUUAUGGUGGAGGGACAUUUGCAAUCUAGAUAUAUGGGUAAGUGAAAACUCCUAGGAAUAUUUAUUGAAGGAGAUUUAUAAGGCUCGACGAGCGGAAAACAGAACUGAGACUUCAAAAGAGUGGUCCAAGAUUUGGGUCAAGUCGGUCCGUCAAAGGUUUUGUAUUUAGUCUGGCGGCUAUUUCACAACAGGCUUCCAACCAAGGAUAACUUAGUUAGAAGAGUUUUCAUAGUCCAGGAUAUUAACAGGUGCACGGAAGGGUGUGACACGGAUGAAACGGGAACUUACCUUUUUCUUUGAGUGUUCUUUUUAUGUAGGUUUAUGGUAUCGUGUUCUCAGAGGGCUUGGAUUGGUAAUGGUGCUGCAAAACGAAGGUUGGGAGCAUUUUGAUCAGUUUGGUAUGCUCGCCAGCAACGAGAGAAAUAUAAUUCUAAUACUAAGAGAGGCAUGGUUCGCAUGCAUAUGGAGUAUGUGGAAAAAAAGAAAUUCAUUAAUUUUCAAGAACAAGAAAACAACAGUGGAACAAAUGUUUGAAGGAGUCCAAAGAACAUCAUGGUUGUGGUUAAGAAACAAGCAUAUAGAUCUUCGAUGCAAUGCGCAGCAGUGGCAUCUGAAUCCAUUGGGAAUUAUUAGAUAGGCACGGAAAUAGUAUUGAUUCGGUGUUGAGGCUGAGCCACAAUGGUUUUUGGAAGGCUGGAACAAAGGAUUAGAGAAGUGAGAUUCAUCUGAGUUUGGCUAUGGUAUUUAUGUGCCAAUCAUGUCUCCAUUAUUUUUGGUCUGUGUGUUGUGGAAUUUAAAAAUCAUCAGUCUGUUAUGGAAUUUAGAAAAUAGUAGUGUGCGUGGUGCUACUGAUCUGGUGGCUUAGUCGCAAUUCUGGAAUUCAAUCAAAGCAUAGAAUGUUGUAUGCAUUUCCAUGUUUUGUUUGCUGCUGUUUCUAGUUUUGGUCAUAAUUUGUUUUGAAAUAGCUUAAUUUUCCUGUUAUCUCCUUUGUAGCAGUGAUGGUGGUGACUAAGAGUAAGUUUGUUUAAGGUUUUUUAGUUGGUGGGGUAUCUGUAAUUUUUUGUGUAAGAGACAAAUUUUGUAUCAAUAUUUUGAAUAAUCUAGUGCACUGCUUGUGCUUGGUUAUUCCCUUUAAUACAUUUUGCUUUUUCUAAAAAUUGGUGAGGUAUAAAGUGAGUUUAACGGGACCCAUUUUAUAGUUUUUAUGGGUUAGAUGGAUAUUUAGAAAAUUCAAAUGAAUUGCUUAUAUAAUUGAAAUGUGUGAAAUAAUAUAAAAAAUUUAGCAGGUCCAUUUAAAGAACCAAAAUGAGUUCUUUGGAUGUGGAUGCUCUUAGCGUCUAAACAAAAAAAAUUAUUUGCAAUGUCCUCGUUAAUAUAUUAAUAAUAAAGAUCUAAAAAUCAAGGGAUGAUAUAGAUAAAAACCUCUAAAAAAUUAGCUAGUCAAAGCUACUAUGAAAUAAAUCACCAUGGGUAAUCUUAUAUUAAGAAAAUCCAUUUAAAUUGUAUAAUUCGCAGAUCGUUUAAUUUUGAGAAUUUCUAACCUCACCUCAUACAUCUCUCAUGCACCUGUGAAUUGGCAAAAAUACCCUCCAAUUUUCAUAGAUGCAUCUCCGGAAGCACUUUUUUGUUUAACGUUUUGUUCCGUAGAUGCACAUACAGAAGCUUAAAACAUAGUAAACUUGGGAUUUUUACAAUUAAUUAAUUGAGAAAAUCUCAAAUUAAUUUUCCAACUAAUUGGGAAAUCACAAAUUAAUUAGGAAAAUUCCAAAUUAAUUAAGUUCAUGGCAUCUACGAAAGCGUUAAAACAUAGUGAAACUUGUAAUUUUCUCAAUUAUUUGGGAAAAUCCCAAAUUAAUUUCCCAAUUAAUUGGAAAAUCCCAAAUUAAUUGGGAAAAUCCCAAAUUAAUUUCUCAAUUAAUUAGGAAAAUACAUAAGAUAACAAAAUAUUCCAAAAGUACAUACAGAACACUAUUUUAAAACCCUUCUAUAGAUGUAGUUAUGGAAGAUUUCAUGAACUUGGGAAUUUUCCAAUUAAUUGGAAAAAAUCCCAAGUUUUACUAUGUUUUAACGUUUCUGUAGAUGCAUCUACGAAAAUAAACAAUUUUUUUUUUGCAAAAAAGUGCUUCCGGAGAUGCAUCUACGGAAACAGGGGCAUAACUAAAAUUUCGUGCGGUGUAUGAGAGAAUCAUAGGGUGCAUUGAGAAAUUCUCUUAAUUUUUAUUUGACGAGGAUUGGAACACAACCAUCUUCGAUGAGAGCAGAUGAAGUAGAUUUACAAGAAAGGAAUACAAAAAAGAUCAAAGAAGAAAACAAUUCAAGGGUAUGAAAACACUUAGAGGGGGUUGAAUAAGGGGUUUUCUUUGUUUAUAAAAAUCACACGGUAUUUUUAUCUUGGUUCAUUUGAACUCAAACUACUCGAGUCCACCCGUCAAGGUGAUUUCACCUCUCUCAACGAGGACUUAAUCCACUAUAACCAAACUGAUUACAAAUGCACAACCAACUAGUAUGACUAACAAUACCAUACACAAGCCAACAACUAGUUGUAACGCCCAGAAAAAUUAAUUGUAUCUUAGGAAACACUCUUAUACUUUUAUAAUACACUGAUCACUAAUACACUAGAUCAGGAGAACUUUCACACACCCUUUCAUUCACAAUCUUAUUUCAAAGUAAAAGAAUAAAACUAAGGUAACAUAAAAUAAAAUAAAAGAAUUUUUCUUUACCCACCUCCCUAUGGGGUCACCCCCAGCGAAAUCCCCCAAUUACCCCUGCUUCGGAGAUGCAUCUCUGAAGUUAAUUUUUUUUUUUGAAUUUUCAUGCUUUUCGGAAAUGACUCUCCGAAAACACCAAAAAAGUAGUGUUUUCGGAGAUGCAUUUCCGAAGUAAAAAAAAAUUCAAAACCGUGAAUAUUUCGGAAGUUCAUUUCCGAAAAUAUUCCUGCAUAUACAAUUUUCCCUUCUUCACUAUUUCAUCAUUUUUUCUCCAAAACUUCUCCAAACCCUCUCCAAAACUCAAUCAAUCUCCAUCCAUUUUUCUUCUCAAAAUCAAGUUUCAAACCGUUGAUCACGUUAAAGGGAGCAUAAAAAGCUACAAUUUGAGGUAUGGUGCAUCCGGACAACAUUGUGCAAGACGAUGGCGCAGUAGUUCCAGAAGUUGUCAACGUUAAAAACGAUUCGGUUAUCGACGAUUGAGCUAUGAUCAAUGCGGUUGAUAUUCGGCAACAAUUUACCAAUGAUCGGAGCUUCGGUAGUCGCGAGCAUUUGAUUGAUUGGGUUGGGAACGAAGCUAGUAAAGUUGGAUUUGGAAUUGUAAUUUUAAGGUCCGAUAAUGGAAAUGAAUUUUUUUUCGUAAACACUUUUUUUUUCCAAUAAAAGUACGUUUUCGGAAAUGAACUUCCGAAACAAGGGGUAUUUUCGUAAAUUCGCCAGAGAUGGCCAAGAAGAUUAGGAGGCGGGUUAAGAAAUAGUUUUAAGGUAAUAGUUUCAGAAUAAACAAUAUUUAGAACACAAAGUCAUAAUUAUAAAGGGAACAAAUAUAUUAAAAAUAUAAUUAUUGGUUGGAAGAAUAGAAUAAAUCCUAAAUGACAAAUAUUCUACCAUAAAGUAUAUUAUUUAUAUCUUCCAUAUACCCAUAAAUAAUUCUUCCUUGCAACUAUGAUUUUUGUGGCCACUGGUAAAACAGUAUACACACUUUCUCAGUGCACCUAUAAAAGACAUUGAACAUCCUAACCCUAUUAGUCAGAUAAGUCGGAAAAGGGCAAUCUUCAUCAGUUUCACAUGGAUUACCAGCUACUAUAAAAAAAUAAAAAAUAAAUUUUUUUAGUAAUAACUAUAAAAUAUAAAAUAAAAAUAUUCAAAAGGGAGAAAAUAAUUUACCGCCAGCCUCCGUUGAAUGACAAAAUAAAGAAAGAACUAAAAUUAUAGCAUAAACAAACUUAAUUUUAGCCAUAUUUUUGUUAUUUUAUAAAUAAAUUGAUUGAACUUUGAUCAAUUUAUAACGU